rnacentral:rRNA from 1 species
UCAAGCGAAUAAGCGCACACGGUGGAUGCCUAGGCGGUCAGAGGCGAUGAAGGACGUGGUAGCCUGCGAAAAGUGUCGGGGAGCUGGCAACAAGCUUUGAUCCGGCAAUAUCCGAAUGGGGAAACCCACUGCUUCGGCAGUAUCUUGCAGUGAAUUCAUAGCUGCUUGAAGCGAACCCGGUGAACUGAAAUAUCUAAGUAACCGGAGGAAAAGAAAUCAACCGAGAUUCCCUGAGUAGUGACGAGCGAACGGGGAACAGCCCUUAAGCUGGAAUGGCUUUAGAAAAACAAUCUGGAAAGAUUGGCCAUAGAAGGUGAUAGCCCUGUAUUUAAAAGGGCCACUCCAGUGAAGACGAGUAGGGCGGGGCACGUGAAACCCUGUCUGAAUAUGGGGGGACCAUCCUCCAAGGCUAAAUACUCCUGACCGACCGAUAGUGAACCAGUACCGUGAGGGAAAGGCGAAAAGAACCCCGGAGAGGGGAGUGAAAUAGAUCCUGAAACCGUGUGCGUACAAGCAGUAGGAGCUCGCAAGAGUGACUGCGUACCUUUUGUAUAAUGGGUCAGCGACUUACUGUUCGUGGCAAGCUUAACCGUAUAGGGGAGGCGAAGGGAAACCGAGUCUGAUAAGGGCGCAUAGUCGCGGGCAGUAGACCCGAAACCGGGUGAUCUAGUCAUGGCCAGGGUGAAGGUGCCGUAACAGGUACUGGAGGCCCGAACCCACGUCUGUUGCAAAAGACGGGGAUGAGCUGUGAUUAGGAGUGAAAAGCUAAUCGAACCCGGAGAUAGCUGGUUCUCCUCGAAAGCUAUUUAGGUAGCGCCUCGGACGAAUACUACUGGGGGUAGAGCACUGUUAUGGCUAGGGGGUCAUCGCGACUUACCAAACCAUUGCAAACUCCGAAUACCAGUACGUACUAUCCGGGAGACACACGGCGGGUGCUAACGUCCGUCGUGAAAAGGGAAACAACCCAGACCCACAGCUAAGGUCCCAAAUUCACUGCUAAGUGGAAAACGAUGUGGAAAGGCAUAGACAGCCAGGAGGUUGGCUUAGAAGCAGCCACCCUUUAAAGAAAGCGUAAUAGCUCACUGGUCGAGUCGGUCUGCGCGGAAGAUUUAACGGGGCUAAGCAGUGAACCGAAGCUUGGGGUGCGUAAAACUUCGGUUUUAUGCGCGGUAGAGGAGCGUUCCGUAAGCCUGCGAAGGUGGAUUGAGAAGUCUGCUGGAGGUAUCGGAAGUGCGAAUGCUGACAUGAGUAACGAUAAUGCGGGUGAAAAGCCCGCACGCCGAAAGCCCAAGGUUUCCUUGCGCAACGUUAAUCGACGCAGGGUUAGUCGGUCCCUAAGGCGAGGGCGAAAGCCGUAGUCGAUGGGAAGCAGGUUAAUAUUCCUGCACCUCGCGUGAGUGCGAUGGAGGGACGGAGAAGGUUAGGUGUACCGGGCGUUGGUUGUCCCGGGGAAAGGCGGUAGGUUUGGAUCUUUGGCAAAUCCGGGAUCCUUUAAGACCGAGCACCGAGACGAGCCUUUAUGGCGAAGUCACUGAUACCACGCUUCCAGGAAAAGCUCCUAAGCUUCAGCUCACGAAGACCGUACCGUAAACCGACACAGGUGGGUAGGAUGAGAAUUCUCAGGCGCUUGAGAGAACUCGGGUGAAGGAACUAGGCAACAUGGCACCGUAACUUCGGGAGAAGGUGCACCCUUUUUGGUGGCUCAUGCGAGCUAUAGCUGAAGAGGGUCGCAGAAACCAGGCCGCUGCGACUGUUUAUCAAAAACACAGCACUCUGCAAACACGAAAGUGGACGUAUAGGGUGUGACGCCUGCCCGGUGCUGGAAGGUUAAUUGAUGGGGUCAGCCGCAAGGCGAAGCUCUUGAUCGAAGCCCCAGUAAACGGCGGCCGUAACUAUAACGGUCCUAAGGUAGCGAAAUUCCUUGUCGGGUAAGUUCCGACCUGCACGAAUGGCGUAACGACAGCGGCGCUGUCUCCACCCGAGACUCAGUGAAAUUGAAAUCGCUGUGAAGAUGCAGCGUUCCCGUGGCAAGACGGAAAGACCCCGUGAACCUUUACUAUAGCUUUACACUGAACGUUGAGUUCGUCUGUGUAGGAUAGGUGGGAGGCUAUGAAACUGUGGCGCUAGCUGCAGUGGAGCCAACCUUGAAAUACCACCCUGUCGUGCUUGACGUUCUAACCUAGAUCCGUUAUCCGGAUCAGGGACCGUGUAUGGUGGGUAGUUUGACUGGGGCGGUCUCCUCCUAAAGAGUAACGGAGGAGCACGAAGGUACGCUCAGCGCGGUCGGACAUCGCGCACUGUGUGCAAAGGCAUAAGCGUGCUUGACUGCAAGAUCGACGGAUCAAGCAGGUACGAAAGUAGGUCUUAGUGAUCCGGUGGUUCUGUAUGGAAGGGCCAUCGCUCAACGGAUAAAAGGUACUCCGGGGAUAACAGGCUGAUACCGCCCAAGAGUUCAUAUCGACGGCGGUGUUUGGCACCUCGAUGUCGGCUCAUCACAUCCUGGGGCUGUAGUCGGUCCCAAGGGUAUGGCUGNAGGUACUCCGGGAAUAACAGGCUGAUACCGCCCAAGAGUUCAUAUCGACGGCGGUGUUUGGCACCUCGAUGUCGGCUCAUCACAUCCUGGGGCUGUAGUCGGUCCCAAGGGUAUGGCUGUUCGCCAUUUAAAGUGGUACGCGAGCUGGGUUCAGAACGUCGUGAGACAGUUCGGUCCCUAUCUGCCAUGGGCGUUGGAAGUUUGAGAGGGGCUGCUCCUAGUACGAGAGGACCGGAGUGGACGAACCUCUGGUGUUCCGGUUGUCACGCCAGUGGCAUUGCCGGGUAGCUAUGUUCGGAAGCGAUAACCGCUGAAAGCAUCUAAGCGGGAAGCGCGCCUCAAGAUGAGACUUCCCGGGGCACAAGCCCCCUAAAGGAACCAUAUAGACUAUGUGGUUGAUAGGUCAGGUGUGUAAGUACAGCAAUGUAUUGAGCUAACUGAUACUAAUGAUCCGUGCGGCUUGACCAU